rnacentral:snRNA from 1 species
AUCGAUUCUCGGCCUUUUGGCUAAGAUCAAGUGUAGUAUCUGUUCUUAUCAGUUUAAAUUUAGCCAUUCAAACCUAAGGUUAAAGUACAUAAUCACUAUCU